rnacentral:sRNA from 1 species
AGAAAGAAGGAUGAAGAGGAAAUUAUCUCUUGGAUUGCUCUCCAGGAAAUCCUUCUCUAUACUUUAAAAGCUCUUGUUCUUUUCUAGGAGUCCAAUGUGCUGAUUGCUGCUAACAGUCAGGGUACAAUUAAGGUGCUAGAAUUGGUAUGAAGGGUUAACUCAAGUCAAAUUGUACUUGAUCCUGCUGAAAUACAUCUGCAGCUGACAAUGAGAGAAGAAACAGAAAAUGUCAUGUGAUGUCUCUCCCCAAAGUCAUCAUGGGUUUUGGAUUUGUUUUGAAUAUUUUUUUCUUUUUUUCUUUUCCCUCCUUUAUGACCUUUGGGACAUUGGGAAUACCCAGCCAACUCUCCACCAUCAAUGUAACUCCAUGGACAUUGCUGCUCUUGGUGGUGUUGUUAUGUAAUUUUUGUGAUAGGGAAACAAAUUCUUUUGAAUAAAAAUAAAUAACAAAAAAA